GACCUAAAAUAAACUUAGUCGUAAAUAUCCCCGAAACCCGCUAAGUUAACUAGAAAUGUAUGGUUUAGUUAAUAAGAGGGAUUGUGGAUUUAAAAUAAGAAGGGUGUAACAUCCCGAAAAUACACAUUUUUAAAUUUGUAUUUAGUUACAAAUAAAAUUGGUAAAAUAAACUAACCAGGAUUGGCAUUAACCUAGUUAAAUGACAACUUAUGAGUAGUUAAAAUGUUAAAACAAAAGAAAAAUGAAACUUGAGGGACUAAAGUUGUGUAAGUGAAAACUAGUAAUAAUAAAACAAAAAAAAAUUAAAGCACAACACUUGUUUGUGUUGUUGGGUUCGAUCAGAAGGCAGGGGGCGACUUCAAGCUCCCCAAAACCCUAGUUCACAUCAAAAACCACCAAUUGAAGGAUCAAAUCGAGUCCAAAACGAAAAUCGAGCAUAUUCGUGAUCCCCAUUGAAAGGAGAUCAUAAGUUUGUCGCCUAACGAGCUAGGUGGAGGCUUGGAAAAGAAGCGGUCAAACGAAUCAAGCACGAGAAGAAAACGUAUUCGGAUGCGAGGUAAGUAGAGCUUACGCCCCUUUACAUUAUUUGCAAAGUUACUUAAUUUCAAGUAAUGAUAUGAAUGCUACUAAGUGGUUGGUAUAUGAUAUUCCGACGCGAUUCAAUGAGAGUUGGAAUGAGGGGAAAAUGGUAAAUUAGUCAUGUAAUGACGAAUAAUUAAAAACGGUUUUAAGUAAAACAAGUUCAAAGAAAACCGGGAUAGGUAAAAGGGGUGAAAUGGUAAUUAAAUACCAUCUCAACACGGACAAAUGGUCAAUUAGACUAAAUGGGUCAAAUGGUGUGGAUAACACCAUUUGGCAAUAACAUUUGACGAUCGCUUGUUGAGUUUUGUGAUUUCAGGAAAUAACAUGUGUUGCGUUGCUUUAAUUAGAAAAUUUAAAGCAGGAAGUAUGUAAACGGGUCAAUACUAUGAUCCGAGCCAGGUACGCAUACGUGAAUUUAUAGUUAAAAGUGCAAGAAGGUCUAACAUCUAGCCGAAAUCCUUCAUUUCAAAAUGAAGGACUAAAUGUGACCAAAGAGCCCUUAAUAGGUAAACAAUGUAAACAACCCUUAGAGGUUGCUUAGAAACUUAUAUUAUGAGUUUGAAACCCUUAGAUGUGUAUAAAAGUUCUAGGCAAAAACAAUUGCGGGUCGAACGCCUAGAAAUAGUUAAUUGCGGAAAAUGACCAACCAAUAGGUAAAAUUGGGAAAAAGGGGUUCAUAUGUUAAAUCCACCACAAAAUAGUUGUGGUGGAAUAUUUCUAGUUAAUUAGACAUGGAAAAUAUUGUAGUAUCAAAAGAAAAGCACAAGUUCUAGACCAAAAUGCGUAAAUACCCAUAACGGGUCAAAAUAGAAGUAUUAGCGAAACGAGUUAAGAAUGUGUAAUAACCCGUGAUUUGAACCUUGUACAAUAGGAAAUAAUCAUAAUAUUAUGUUUACGAAAGAAACAAGGGCCACAAUCAAGUUUGUUAGAUGAAUUCAUGAACGGGUCAAAAUUUGGUAAAAAUGGUAAUAAGCCGAAGACUUAAAAGUCUUAAAUUUUUGUUAAUCCGGAUGUCGGAUUUUAACUGCAUAUGAUGGAGAAUUAAAUUAUGGACGCGUAGGAAAAAGAAUCGUGUAAAACGGAUUAAAAACGAGAGAGUUAUGUCCGUUUCGGUAAGAACUAAUGAAAAAUAGACGUGCAGAGUUGACACGGGCGGGUGACUUUUUGACACGGCCGGGUGGCUGGGCUGUGAAAAAUAUAUGUUAACUGACACGGGCGGGUGACUUUUUGACACGGCCGGGUGAAGGGGCUGAAAACAAAACAAAAAUAAUUUCUUGUUUUGUUACGUUAAGCACGGAACUUGUUUAUACUCGAUUAUUAAAGUGUCAAAACUAAUUAUUUACAUGGUUUUGACCGUAGGUGAAGAUGGGAUAAGCGGUUGAAAGAUACGAAAGUUUUCGUGCAAAUAAACGGCAAAAUAGGAAAGCUGGAAUGCAGGGACCACCGUAACUUACGGUGCCACCGUAAGUUACGGUGGAGCUGAAGGCUUUACGGCAGCCCCCUACUGAUUUACGGUAGGGGCAUGUCACACCAGGGGCCACCGUAACUUACGGUGCCACCGUAAGUUACGGUGGAGGCCAGUUGGAAAUCCAUGUUUUGAGAUCAAAAGUUUAACGUUCUUUUUGGAUGCCGAAAGACGAUCAAGCUCAUCGAAGGACCGAACACGAUAAAGAUACAUGCUUCCGCACAUUUCCUCGUCGUAAAUUUUUAAACGACAAACUCGAUCACUUAUGUUGAAUAACUUAUGAUUUGUAAAAGUUUUAAUAAACUCGUAUUUUCAUAGUAUGUGUAAACUUAAUUACA